rnacentral:rRNA from 1 species
UACGGAGGGUGCAAGCGUUAAUCGGAAUUACUGGGCGUAAAGCGUGCGCAGGCGGUUCUUUAAGGCAGAGGGGAAAUCCCCGGGCUCAACCUGGGAACUGCAUUUGUGACUGUAGAGCUGGAGUACGGUAGAGGGGGAUGGAAUUCCGCGUGUAGCAGUGAAAUGCGUAGAUAUGCGGAGGAACACCGAUGGCGAAGGCAAUCCCCUGGACCUGUACUGACGCUCAUGCACGAAAGCGUGGGGAGCAAACAGG